rnacentral:rRNA from 1 species
CUCCCACCCCUGUGAUUAUACCUUUAAUUGUUGCUUCGGCGGGACUUCGCGCCCGCCGGGGACCCAAACCUUCUGAAUUUUUUAAUAAGUAUCUUCUGAGUGGUUAAAAAAAAAAUGAAUCAAAACUUUCAACAACGGAUCUCUUGGUUCUGGCAUCGAUGAAGAACGCAGCGAAAUGCGAUAAGUAAUGUGAAUUGCAAAAUUCAGUGAAUCAUCGAAUCUUUGAACGCACAUUGCGCCCGUCAGUAUUCUGGCGGGCAUGCCUGUUCGAGCGUCAUUACGCCCCUCAAGUCCCCUGUGGACUUGGUGUUGGGGAUCGGCGAGGCUGGUUUUCCAGCACAGCCGUCCCUUAAAUUAAUUGGCGGUCUCGCCGUGGCCCUCCUCUGCGCAGUAGUAAAGCACUCGCAACAGGAGCCCGGCGCGGUCCACUGCCGUAAAACCCCCCAACUUUUUAUAGUGACCUCGAAUCA